rnacentral:snRNA from 1 species
AUACUUACCUGGCAGGGAGAUACCAUGAUCACAAAGGUGAUUUUCCCAAGGCGAGGCUUAUCCAUUGCUCUCUGGAUGUGCUGACCCCUGUGAUUUAAAUGGAAUGGUUUACAUUUAAAAAGAGUGUGCAGUCAUCACCACAAU